CUGGCAUCUAUUAAAAAAUGUAAUGUUUACUUUUUUUGAAAAAGUACUGUAGAAAGCGAUAACAGAAAUUCUAAAGAAAACCCCUGGUUAUACCCAAAUGUUCCCUUCCCCCUCCAGUCUUGGAACAUAUUACUCAAGUUGUUUUCCUCUUUUUUAUAAUUUUUGUAUGCAUUUUCAGCCUCCUGAUUGGAAAAGAAACUGAAUACUCUCAUGAAAUGAUGAAAAAAAAUGGAGCUUUAAUGUUUCAACUUCAAAGAAUGAGGAAACAAUGGAAAAGCUUCAAGACUUGUGCUUUUGUCUCCCUGGCCUAAAGACAUUGUGGAACCAAUCACGCUGCCUGUGCACCCAACAGCUCCAUCUGUACACAUCACAGGAUAAGAAAGCGGAAACCCUAGUAAGAAGAUGCCUACCCUACUAUGGGCAAACUUAACUAGAGUGCUGUACUUUGGUGAGAUCUCUGCAGAGAUUUGGAUGUGAUGGGUGGGAUGUGCCCCAGUACAACAUCAGUCUGUUACCCACUGAUGAAAGUGCUCUCCUGGCUGCUGGGAAUCUUCAAAGAGCAACAGAAUAUUGUUCUGCUGCACAAGUGCUCUGACCAUCGAGCACGUGAAUAACAAUUACCAUUACAAAAUAAAUGGGUAAGUAGCAACUGCA
rnacentral:lncRNA from 1 species